UACGUAGGGGGCAAGCGUUAUCCGGAAUUACUGGGUGUAAAGGAAGCGUAGACGGUAAUGUAAGUCUGGAGUGAAAGGCGGGGGCCCAACCCCCGGACUGCUCUGGAAACUAUGUUACUAGAGUGCAGGAGAGGUAAGCGGAAUUCCUAGUGUAGCGGUGAAAUGCGUAGAUAUUAGGAGGAACACCAGUGGCGAAGGCGGCUUACUGGACUGUAACUGACGUUGAGGCUCGAAAGCGUGGGGAGCAAACAGG
rnacentral:rRNA from 1 species